rnacentral:tRNA from 1 species
CCGGGAUAGCUCAGUUGGUAGAGCAGAGGACUGAAAAUCCUCGUGUCACAGUU